rnacentral:rRNA from 1 species
AUUGAACGCUGGCGGCAUGCCUUACACAUGCAAGUCGAACGGCAGCGCGGGUGCCUGCACCUGGCGGCGAGUGGCGAACGGGUGAGUAAUACAUCGGAACGUGCCCUAGAGUGGGGGAUAACUAGUCGAAAGAUUAGCUAAUACCGCAUACGAUCUACGGAUGAAAGUGGGGGACCGCAAGGCCUCAUGCUCCUGGAGCGGCCGAUGUCUGAUUAGCUAGUUGGUGGGGUAAUAGCCUACCAAGGCAACGAUCAGUAGCUGGUCUGAGAGGACGACCAGCCACACUGGGACUGAGACACGGCCCAGACUCCUACGGGAGGCAGCAGUGGGGAAUUUUGGACAAUGGGGGCAAUCCUGAUCCAGCAAUGCCGCGUGUGUGAAGAAGGCCUUCGGGUUGUAAAGCACUUUUGUCAGGAACGAAACGGUGGGGGCUAAUACCUCCUGCUAAUGACGGUACCUGAAGAAUAAGCACCGGCUAACUACGUGCCAGCCGCCGCGGUAA